rnacentral:sRNA from 23 species
ACCGAGGGAGUGCCACACCAACGCGAGUAGCCCGCCAUCCCAGAUGGCUGCAAAAGCGGGCAUAAUGAACCGGUAA